UACGGGGGGGGCAAGCGUUGUUCGGAAUUACUGGGCGUAAAGGGUUUGUAGGUGGCUCGCUAAGUCACACGUGAAAUCCCUCAGCUUAACUCCGAAACUGCAUUUGAUACUGGCGUGCUUGAGGACUGGAGAGGAGACUGGAAUUCAUGGUGCAGCAGUGAAAUGCGUAGAGAUCAUGAGGAAGACCAGUGGCGAAGGCGGGUCUCUGGACAGUUCCUGACACUGAGGCACGAAGGCCAGGGGAGCAAACGGG
rnacentral:rRNA from 1 species